rnacentral:rRNA from 1 species
GACGAGGGGUCCUAGCGUUGUUCGGAAUCACUGGGCGUAAAGCGUAUGUAGGCGGGCUUCUGAGUCAGGUGUGAAAUCCCAUGGCUCAACCAUGGAAUUGCAUUUGAAACUGGAAGUCUUGAGUGUGGGAGAGAUUGGUAGAAUACCUGGUGUAGUGGUGAAAUACGUAGAUAUCAGGUGGAAUACCGGUGGCGAAGGCGGCCAAUUGGCCCAACACUGACGCUGAGAUACGAAAGCGUGGGGAGCAAACAGG